AUUAUAUUGCAAGAUCACUGUCUUUUACUAUUUAUUUUAAUUCUGUAACCCAAGGGUUUUUGUUCUAGAUAUUACAUGGAUGUUCAAACGACUGCUAGAUUUCAAUGUUAACAUCUGACAGUCUAUUCGAUUACCAAACACAUGCAUUAAUAUCUUUGAAAUGAGAGGUUUUACAGGUUAAAGGUCAGCGUCCACACAGAUCAGAUAAUUAAUGAUGUUGGUUCGAUCAGGUAGUAUUGGAUUUUAGGUUUUUUCUCUCGUUUGGUCCCGAAAAGGAAAACAAAAACCUUUUUCACACAAAUACCAGAAUUCUAUAGUCUCUGGGAAAAUCAUAGCUAGAGCACUCCUCAUCAUAUAUGAAUAUUGCGGAUGUGAUACAUAAGCCCCUACGUACACUCGAAGAUAGGGAUAUAUAUAAAUAUAUAUUAUAACCUAUUAUUUUCGUUUUGGCACCUUGUCGCAAAAUUUGACACGUUUUGUUGGCAUUGCAUAUGUUCUCACAAAUGUGAUACGACCGCCAAUUAAAGUCAAUUUAGUGCGUAUAUGUUUUUGUUUUAUUUGGCUGAAAAUUAUGCAUAUUGAUAUAUAUCCAAAAAAUAUAAUAAUGCAUUAUAUAUGAGCACGCAAGAAAAUAAUUAAGCAAUUGAGGUCAUGUUUGAUAAUUAUUUUACUUUUAGUUUUUAAGAUAAUUUUUAUUUAUGUGCUUGAAAUAAGAGGAAAUGAGGGUGAAGGGUAAUGCGAGAGAGGGGUAAAAACAAUAAGAAUGAAACCAAAAUAUUGAAAGUGAAAAUAACUUGGAAAUAGUUUUGGUUUUCAGUUUAUUUUGGGUGUCUUUCUUUAUACAUAUGUCUUCUACGUUUCUCUACUGUCUUCUCUCUACUCUUUUAUAUUUCUCUCAUGUGCUUACCCUUUGUUUCAAACACAAAAAUAAAAGGCUUAAUUGAAUAAACGGUCCUUGUGAUGAUAAGAUAAUCGGAAGAUAACCCUCGUGGUAAAUAAAAUAAGAAUUUAAACUCUCGUGGUGUAAUUCGUUAGAAAAUCUAGUCCAAAAUUGAUUUUAUGUUAAAUGUCUGUUAAUUGAAUGGUAAAAACUGAUCAAGCAGCAGCAAUAUUAGAAGUCUUGUUUUUCUUUUUUGUCGAUAUAAGAAGUCUUAUUUAAUUGCUUACAUUUUGAUGAAGAUUGAUGAACCAGCAAGUCUAUGUUACCCAAAAUACAAGAAUUGCUUUCUCAUGAAUACCUUUCGGAACUACUGACCAUUUAGUUUCCCAAUGAUGAGAUAUAUUUCGACUUUGCGUGUUGUGACUAGUAUUCUAAGGGUUCGCGCGGACCGUUUCGGCACCAUCUCGAUGCUAGGUAGCUAGCUACGCCAUAAUUAAUCACUAAACAUUUGAAAAAAUA
rnacentral:lncRNA from 1 species